UAUAUCAUCUUUUAUACUCGAUGAUUAUAGUUGUAUUAAAGAUGUUUAAAUGAAUGAUGUAAAAGAUUUUAUGUUUAAUUGCAAAAGGUUAUAUUUGGAGAUAUCAUGUGAUGUAAAAGAGAAGAAAUAAUGUUACAGAAAAGAAUGUAAAUGUAUAAGUUGUAUGCAUGCAUGUGAUUUAAAGUUAAUCAUAUUACUUGUAUGGAUAAUUAGUUAAUACUUUCACUUUGGCUAUUGCUCGCCCUCGUGCGAGCCACUAUGUAUGUUUUCACUUGUGCAAAAAAUCUACUCGAUUUGUACUUGUGUUGAGCCUUGGACGGACAGGGGAGGUGAUGUCCGUUCGGCGUCUGUUCUACGUAUCCGAACUGACCAAAUAGGCCGAGCUCGGGGCGUGACAACCGUCGUCAUCGCACCCUCCGUCGCCAUCGCACCCUCCAUUGCCGUCAUCGUGAUCGGCACACCCACCAUCUCUUUUUCCCCUGUGGCUCUCUCUAUCUUACUCUCUCUCUCACCUCCCUUUGUCGCACCUUGUAUCUCACUCUCUCUCUCUUACCUCCCUCUGCUGCCGUUGCCACUACUGCCACCGUCAUUGUCGUACCUGCCUUCACACUUGCCUUGAGAUCUCUCUCUCAUUCUCGCAGCAUUCUCUUUCGUCCUCUCUCUUUCUCUCUUUCUCUCUCUCUCUCUCUCUCUGCGAUAGUGCCGUCGCCGACAAACCCACCGUCGCCGACAAACCCACCAUCA
rnacentral:lncRNA from 1 species